rnacentral:rRNA from 1 species
GUGUCAGCCGCCGCGGUAAUACGUAGGUGGCAAGCGUUGUCCGGAAUUAUUGGGCGUAAAGCGCGCGCAGGCGGGAAUGUAAGUCUGUCUUAAAAGUGCGGGGCUUAACCCCGUGAGGGGACGGAAACUACAUUUCUUGAGUGCAGGAGAGGACAGUGGAAUUCCCAGUGUAGCGGUGAAAUGCGUAGAUAUUGGGAGGAACACCAGUGGCGAAGGCGACUGUCUGGACUGUGUCUGACGCUGAGGCGCGAAAGCCAGGGGAGUGAACGGGAUUAGAUACCCCGGUAAUCCUGGCCGUAAACGAUGGGUACUAGGUGUAGGGGGUAUCGACCCCUCCUGUGCCGGAGUUAACGCAAUAAGUACCCCGCCUGGGGAGUACGGCCGCAAGGUUGAA